rnacentral:rRNA from 1 species
CAGUCGUACCUGCGGGUAAUCAGCCUUUCGGGUAUGAUUCUGUGGAGUGUGGGGAGCUAAACACCCUCAUGCCUGCAUAUUCCGUGCUCUUGGGUGUACUUGCCUGUGUGGUUAGUUAACAUCAA